rnacentral:rRNA from 1 species
CGCGGUGAAUAUGUUCCUGAGCCUUGUACACACCGCCCGUCAAGUCAUGGAAGCUGGGAGUACCCGAAGUCCGUUUAGCCAACCCGCAAGGGAGGUAGCGGCCGACGGUAAGCCCGGUGACUGGGACUAAGUCGUAACAAGGUAGCCGUAGGGGAACCUGCGGCUGGAUCACCUCCUUU